rnacentral:rRNA from 1 species
UGGGGAAUAUUGGACAAUGGGGGCAACCCUGAUCCAGCCAUGCCGCGUGAGUGAUGAAGGCCUUCGGGUUGUAAAGCUCUUUCGCCUGCGAAGAUGAUGACGGUAGCAGGAUAAGAAGCCCCGGCUAACUUCGUGCCAGCAGCCGCGGUAAUACGAAGGGGGCGAGCGUUGUUCGGAAUUACUGGGCGUAAAGGGCGUGUAGGCGGCCAUUCAAGUCAGGGGUGAAAUCCCGGGGCUCAACCUCGGAACUGCCUUUGAAACUGGAUGGCUAGAGACCGGAAGAGGUGCGUGGAAUUCCCAGUGGAGAGGUGAAAUUCGUAGAGAUUGGGAGGAACACCGGCGGCGAAGGCGGCGCACUGGUCCGGAUCUGACGCUGAGGCGCGACAGCGUGGGGAGCAAACA